rnacentral:rRNA from 1 species
GACGAACGCUGGCGGCGUGCUUAACACAUGCAAGUCGAACGGGAUUUAGUAAACAGAAGCCUCGGUGGAAGAUUACUAAUGAGAGUGGCGAACGGGUGAGUAACGCGUGAGCAACCUGCCUAUGACAGUGGGAUAGCCUCGGGAAACCGGGAUUAAUACCGCAUAAAAUCGGAGAAACACAUGUUUUAACGGUCAAAGAUUUAUCGGUCAUAGAUGGGCUCGCGUCUGAUUAGCUAGUUGGUGAGGUAACAGCCCACCAAGGCGACGAUCAGUAGCCGGUCUGAGAGGAUGAACGGCCACAUUGGAACUGAGACACGGUCCAGACUCCUACGGGAGGCAGCAGUGGGGAAUAUUGCACAAUGGGGGAAACCCUGAUGCAGCGACGCCGCGUGAACGAAGAAGGUAUUCGUAUCGUAAAGUUCUGUCCUAUGGGAAGAUAAUGACAGUACCAGAGAAGAAAGCUCCGGCUAAAUACGUG